UAAUUGGCAUCUUCUAGUGAGAUAGGGAG
rnacentral:piRNA from 1 species